rnacentral:tRNA from 1 species
GCCGAGGUGGCGGAACUGGUAGACGCGGAGGACUUAAAAUCCUCGGGACUCCGUCCGUGCGGGUUCGAGUCCCGCCCUCGGCA